UACGGAGGAGGCAAGCGUUAUCCGGAAUUAUUGGGCGUAAAGGGUUUGUAGGUGGCUUGCUAAGUCAGACGUGAAAUCCCUCAGCUUAACUGGGGAACUGCGUCUGAGACUGGUGAGCUUGAGUGCAGGAGAGGAACGCGGAAUUCCAGGUGUAGCGGUGAGAUGCGUAGAUAUCUGGAGGAACACCGGUGGCGAAGGCGGCGUUCUGGACUGCAACUGACACUGAGGAACGAAAGCCAGGGGAGCAAACGGG
rnacentral:rRNA from 1 species